rnacentral:lncRNA from 1 species
AGGGUUUACGUUUAGGGUUUAGAGUUAAUGUUUCAGGGUUUAGAUUUGAAGGUUUAGGGUUUUAGGGUUUAUGGUUCGAAUUUCAGAAAAAUAUAGGGUUUAGGGUUUAGAGUUGAUGUUUUAGGGUUUAGAUUUGAAGGUUUAGAGUUUAGGGUUUAUAGUUGAUAUUUUGGGGUUUAGGGUUUAUAGUUGAUGUUUCAUGGUUUAGGGUUUAGAGUUGAUGAUUUAAGUUUAGAUUUAGGGUUUAGGGUUUACGUUUAGGGUUUAGAGUUGAUGUUUUAGGGUUUAUAGUUGAUGUUUUAGGGUUUAGAUUUGAAGGUUUAGGGGUUUAGGGGUUUAGUGUUUAGAAUUGAUGUUUAGGGGUUUAGGGUUUAGAGUUGAUGGUUUAGGGUUUAGAUUAGUUAACCAUUUGUUUUUUUUUUUGUCCAAGUUAAUCAAAAGGUUAUAAAUGUCUUUUACCCUUCAUUAAAGAUGAUG